rnacentral:rRNA from 1 species
ACGUAGGGUGCGAGCGUUGUCCGGAAUUACUGGGCGUAAAGAGCUCGUAGGCGGAUUGUCACGUCGUAUGUGAAAUCCUAGGGCUUAACUCUAGACGUGCAGUCGAAACGGGCUGUCUUGAGUGUUACAGAGGUAGCUGGAAUUUCUGGUGUAGCGGUGAAAUGCGCAGAUAUCAGGAAGAACACCGAUGGCGAAGGCAGGUCACUGGGUAAUAACUGACGCUGAGGUGCGAAAGCAUGGGUAGCAAACAG